rnacentral:lncRNA from 1 species
UUGCGCUUUGCAGCUGAAGUCUUGAAACGGAAUCGUUCCAGUAGGUAGAAAACUAUAAAUUUAAUAUAUUUUCGAAAACUCAUUUUCUCUCACAGAGUUUUUCUAAAUAAUGAAAGUGUGUUUUUAUAUUCUAUUGUAAUAUUAAUUUAUUUUCAUCCACAAGUACCAAUGUAAGAUGGCGUCUCAUGUUGAGAAGAAGUUCAAAGGAAGUCAAAACCUAGAGCUAGAAUGCUGCACUCAGAUCAAUGAUGAAGAACAUGAACAGGGAUCCUUUCAAAUAUUCUUCAAAGAAAAAGUGCAUGAUAUGCCAUACGAUGAUGAACUAUUGGAGGGUGAUUCAGACUGCAACCCAUAUUCCGAGAGUAAACCAGAUACAUUCAAUCCAUCGUGACUCAUUGGCCAGGUCAUUUCAACCUGAACUGCUAGAGCCAUGGGUUUGGACAGGAAUGAUUUCGACCCUUGUCAUUAGCUUUAUGACCUCCAGUACCAGACCGAGAAUCUCGUCCAAGAGCCUGCAGAACCUUGUCCAAGAACCACGGUGAACCUCGUCCAAGAACCUCUCGGUGUACCUCGUCCAAAAGCCUCGGAUAAACUCGUCUAAGAGCCUUAGUGUACCUCGUCGAAAUGUGCCUCGGAGAACUUCGUUCAAGAGCCCUGCAGAACCUCGGAUAACCUCGUUCAAGAGCCUCGGAAAAUCUUGUCAAAGAGGCGAGAACCUUGAGCAAGGACCUUCAGAGAACCUUGUCCAAAAGGAUCGGAGAACCUCCUUCAACAGUAUCGGAGAAUCUCGUCCAAUAGCCUCAAAUAUCAUCGUCGAAUCGGCUUGGAGAACAUCUUCCAAUGGCCUCGGAAAACCUAGUCCAAAAGCCUUGGAGAUACUCGUCCAGGGGCCUCGUAGAGCCUCUUCCAAUAGCCUCGGUGAACAUCGGCCAAGAGCCUCGGUGAACAUCGUCCAAGAGGCUUGGAGAACAUCGUCCUAGAACCACGGACAACCUCGUCCCAGUCCAAGAGCCUUGGAGAAACUCGGAGAACCCCGUCUAAGAGCCUCGGAGCUCCUCGUCCAUUAGCCACGGUGAACCUCGAAGAAGAGCCUCGGAGAACCUCGUCCAAGGGCCUGGGAGUAUUUGAUACAUUUUACAUUGAGCAGUUGGUUGAAACAGUAUUACAGAAGCGUGAAGAGAGCUUCGAAUCUACAUCAGUCAGGAGUAUCACGUUGGACCACAGAGUUCGAUGGAAUAGAGUAGCGGCACUUGGAAUCACAGAGUUCGACGGAUGGAAUAAAGUAGCGGAAAUUGUCAGCUAGGAAUCACAGAUGGAACAGAGGAGCGGAAUCUGUCAGCAUGAAGUAUCUUAAGACAACUGGAACCAUGGAGUUAGCAGAAUGGAAUCGUCUAUCAUACAGUUCUUUUGCGGCGUAUGGUAAGAUUAGAGGUGUUAAGUAUUUUCUACAAGAGGUAAAAAACUCAUCUGUUUCUUCUUCUGUGGUUUUGAACCACGUCCUCAUUGUACUGUAAUGUUAAUCUCGAGCUGGUAAACUAUUCGAUAACAUGAUAUCGAUACUAUCGUGAUAUCGAUAUUAUCGCUCUUCUUUGUACUGUAUAAUGUUAAUCUGGAGCUGGUAAACUAUUCGAUA